GCGGGUGUGGCGGAAUGGUAGACGCAACGGACUUAAAAUCCGUUUCUUUUUUAUAAGAGUGUGGGUUCAAGUCCCUCCAUCCGCACCA
rnacentral:tRNA from 1 species